GGAAAAUAAUUAUUCUCAUAAAAUACUGGUUAAAGGUAAGAACUACACUUAUGGGAAGGAUAGCAUUAAGGAAGUGUAGUAGUAUAGGUCUAAUUACUUGGAAAUAUCCAUGCAUACUAAACAAAAGAGAUCCCAGCAGAACAUUACUCAAGAUCAACGAUGUCACAUGUUAUCCAAAUAAUUACAUAAUACUUACAUUAUUAACUCAGUGGAAGCAUGUAAGUAAUAACUAGUGCAUUCAAUCCUUAUUAAAUAUCCAAACAUACAGUAUAUUCACAUAAAUAUAGAAAUGCUCUAAGCCAGGCAGUGUUAUCCUUGGGAUGUUUGUUAAUUACAUAUGCCUGAAAAAGUCUUGCAGGCUCAAAUAAGUUUGCCUAACUCAACUUAUUAACCUCACUUUAAGAAAUUUCCCUAAGUGUAGUAGUUAAGGCACUGAGAGAUCCUGUGCAAUGUGUUAAUGACUUUGCUCUCAUUUCCCCAAACUUAUUUAACCACAGAACUCUUUUUCACAACACGCCCAUUAACAUCUUUCAAAACUAUCAUUCUUGGUACAAUUUGGAAGAUGCUGCACUAAGGCAACAAAAGUCUCAAAGUAAAGUAUCAGUGCAAAAAAGAAUUCAAGUAAUGUCAACCUGCACUUCUCACCAACUAUAAAGAGGAGAAAAGAAACAUUUAGGGAAUAUGCUAGAGAAGGGGUUCUCCAAGAUUGGCGAGAUCUGACUGUGAUGGCUGCAGACGACACACAUAGGAGAAUCUGAAGCACUCUUCCCUCAGGUUCUGUGACUACCCCACUGCAAACUUGGCCUCUGACCUGUGGCAAGAUGACUUUCUUCAGCUGCUCCUGAGUG
rnacentral:lncRNA from 1 species